GACUUGGUGGCGAAAUGUAUCGCGUCCACUUCACGUAUCCAUUGCGUUGACCAAUUCCAAGUGAAGGUUGCCUGUUCGAACCAGGCCCAAGUCA